rnacentral:rRNA from 1 species
UACGGAGGGGACUAGCGUUGUUCGGAAUUACUGGGCGUAAAGCGCACGUAGGCGGAUAUUUAAGUCAGGGGUGAAAUCCCAGAGCUCAACUCUGGAACUGCCUUUGAUACUGGGUAUCUUGAGUAUGGAAGAGGUAAGUGGAAUUGCGAGUGUAGAGGUGAAAUUCGUAGAUAUUCGCAGGAACACCAGUGGCGAAGGCGGCUUACUGGUCCAUAACUGACGCUGGAGGUGCGAAAGCGUGGGGAGCAAACAGG